UUUCACCAUGUUGGCCAGGCUGGUCUUGAACUCCUGACCUUGUGAUCUACCCGCCUCGGCCUCCCAAAGUGCUGGGAUUACAGGCGUGAGCCACCGUGCCUGGCCUGAGGAGCUGCCUCUUCUCUAGGAGAUUCCCACCAGAGGUGAUCCUGUCCUUGAGGGAAGACCUUGUUUCCCGACAAAGGGUGGUGGCCUGAGUCUUGCAGGCCUCAGUGCAAUGAUAGCACCAUCCCCACUGGCUAUCCAAGAAGAGGCACAGGCAUGGUGGCCCACCCUCUCCCUAUCAAGGUGGGCAGCCUUUGUUCCCUGGGGUCAGGUGGGCUGUCUCACACCUUCCCCCUGGUGAGCUGUAAGGCAGGUCUCCUGGAUUCUGCUCCUGAUUCUCUACCAGACCAGGCCUCUCUGCCCUUCUGGGUUUCAAGGUCUUUCACCUUGAAACCUUGGGGCAUAGCCGAAAUCUACAAACCCAGAGAGGCUGAAGCUGAAAGGAACUAGAAUUCAACUCACAAUGCAUUUGUGCAACACGAGGCUGCUUUAUAUCCAUCAUCUCAUUUCAUUUUCACAGUCACCCUGAUGAGCUGCCCAUCUAACAGAUAAGAGCACUGAGGCAGAGGUGUUUCAUCUGGGGCCUCAGGACCCAAAAUCUGUUUCAUUUUGGAGCAUCCAGGCUGAGCUAGGUCCUGAGCCAGACACUGAGGAUGUGAUAGCAAAUCAAACAGACAUGUCUUCUGUCCUCUUGAAAUUUACACUCCAGUGGGGAGACGCAAAUAAACAAGUAAACAAAGGAAGAAGUCCAUCGGCCGCGGUGGCUCAUAUCUGUAAUCCUAGAACUUUGGGAGGCCAAGGCAGGUAGAUCACCUGAGGUCAAGAGUUCAAGACCAGCCUGGCCAACAUGGUGAAACCUCAUCUCUAAUAAAAAUACAAAAAUUAGCUGGGUGUGGUGGCAGGCGCCUACAAUCCCAGCUACUUGGGAGGCUGAGGCAAGAGAAUUGCUUGAACCCAAGAGGCAGAGGUUGCAGUGAGCCAAGAUCGUCAUUGCGCUCCAACCUGGGCAACAGAGCAAAAACUCCAUCUCAAAACAAACAAAACAAACAAACAACAACAACAACAACAACAAAAAACGAAGAAGUCAUGGACAGUGAGGGGCAGACCCAGGUGGGAGUACUGCAGGCCACGCCCCUCGAAGACAGCAUCCACGUGGUCUUCCGAUACUAGCAAGGUGUGCUCGGCAGCCGGUGCCUCAAGGAUUGUUCUGGAAGGAUGACAUCACUCAAGGUGUGAGGACCCA
rnacentral:lncRNA from 10 species